UACGUAGGAGGCGAGCGUUGUCCGGAUUUACUGGGCGUAAAGCGCGCGCAGGCGGCAUGGCAAGUACGGAGUGAAAUUUCCCUGCUCAACGGGGGAGGGUGCUUUGUAGACUGCCAAGCUAGAGGACGGUAGAGGGGGGUAGAAUUGCUGGUGUAGCGGUGAAAUGCGUAGAGAUCGGGAAGAACGCCGGCGGCGAAAGCGAACUCUCUGGUCGGAAUCUGACGCUGAGGCACGAAAGCUAGGGGAGCAAACGGGAGUAGAAUGAU
rnacentral:rRNA from 1 species